rnacentral:rRNA from 1 species
AGUCGAUCCUACGGGGAGGCAGCAGUGGGGGAAUAUUGCACAAUGGGCGCAAGCCUGAUGCAGCCAUGCCGCGUGUGUGAAGAAGGCCUUCGGGUUGUAAAGCACUUUCAGUCGUGAGGAAGGUAGUGUAGUUAAUAGCUGCAUUAUUUGACGUUAGCGACAGAAGAAGCACCGGCUAACUCCGUGCCAGCAGCCGCGGUAAUACGGAGGGUGCGAGCGUUAAUCGGAAUUACUGGGCGUAAAGCGCAUGCAGGUGGUUUGUUAAGUCAGAUGUGAAAGCCCGGGGCUCAACCUCGGAAUUGCAUUUGAAACUGGCAGACUAGAGUACUGUAGAGGGGGGUAGGAAUUUCAGGUGUAGCGGUGAAAUGCGUAGAGAUCUGAAGGAAUACCGGUGGCGAAGGCGGCCCCCUGGACAGAUACUGACACUCAGAUGCGAAAGCGUGGGGAGCAAACAGGAUUAGAUACCCUGGUAG